GGCAUCAUGGCUCAGUGGUAGAGCAUCUGCUUUGCAUGCAGAAGGUCCUAGGUUCAAUCAAUGGCGUCUCCA